rnacentral:rRNA from 1 species
UACGUAGGGCGCAAGCGUUAUCCGGAAUUAUUGGGCGUAAAGAGCUCGUAGGCGGUUUGUCGCGUCUGCCGUGAAAGUCCGGGGCUCAACUCCGGAUCUGCGGUGGGUACGGGCAGACUAGAGUGAUGUAGGGGAGACUGGAAUUCCUGGUGUAGCGGUGAAAUGCGCAGAUAUCAGGAGGAACACCGAUGGCGAAGGCAGGUCUCUGGGCAUAAACUGACGCUGAGGAGCGAAAGCAUGGGGAUCAAACAGG